rnacentral:rRNA from 1 species
GAGUAAUGUCUGGGAAACUGCCUGAUGGAGGGGGAUAACUACUGGAAACGGUAGCUAAUACCGCAUAACGUCGCAAGACCAAAGAGGGGGACCUUCGGGCCUCUUGCCAUCAGAUGUGCCCAGAUGGGAUUAGCUAGUAGGUGGGGUAAUGGCUCACCUAGGCGACGAUCCCUAGCUGGUCUGAGAGGAUGACCAGCCACACUGGAACUGAGACACGGUCCAGACUCCUACGGGAGGCAGCAGUGGGGAAUAUUGCACAAUGGGCGCAAGCCUGAUGCAGCCAUGCCGCGUGUGUGAAGAAGGCCUUCGGGUUGUAAAGCACUUUCAGCGAGGAGGAAGGUGGUGAGCUUAAUACGUUCAUCAAUUGACGUUACUCGCAGAAGAAGCACCGGCUAACUCCGUGCCAGCAGCCGCGGUAAUACGGAGGGGUGCAAGCGUUAAUCGGAAUUACUGGGCGUAAAGCGCACGCAGGCGGUUUGUUAAGUCAGAUGUGAAAUCCCCGGGCUCAACCUGGGAACUGCAUUUGAAACUGGCAAGCUAGAGUCUCGUAGAGGGGGG